rnacentral:rRNA from 1 species
AUUGAACGCUGGCGGCAGGCCUAACACAUGCAAGUCGAACGGUAACAGGAAGCAGCUUGCUGCUUCGCUGACGAGUGGCGGACGGGUGAGUAAUGUCUGGGAAACUGCCUGAUGGAGGGGGAUAACUACUGGAAACGGUGGCUAAUACCGCAUAACGUCGCAAGACCAAAGAGGGGGACCUUCGGGCCUCUUGCCAUCAGAUGUGCCCAGAUGGGAUUAGCUUGUUGGUGAGGUAACGGCUCACCAAGGCGACGAUCCCUAGCUGGUCUGAGAGGAUGACCAGCCACACUGGAACUGAGACACGGUCCAGACUCCUACGGGAGGCAGCAGUGGGGAAUAUUGCACAAUGGGCGCAAGCCUGAUGCAGCCAUGCCGCGUGUAUGAAGAAGGCCUUCGGGUUGUAAAGUACUU